rnacentral:lncRNA from 1 species
AUGAAGUUGCAGCCUCCACUUGGCAAGGGGUUCCCGCCUCUGCGGAAUGCCAGAGUGCGCAUGCGCACUCCAGAAAGCACACCUGCGCGCGGGCCCCACGGGCCACUGCCUGCCAGCUCCUCUGCUCCUGGACCUGAGAGGGGGCUGGAGAGCUUGCGCAAGCGCAGCACACACACUGGGUUCCAGUGGCUCUGCAGGGCGUUGUGCAAGCCUGUCUCCAUGGAGCCCCAGUUCAGCGGUUCUGCAGGGUGCUGUGCAAGCAUUUCUCUGUGGAGCUGGGUUCCAGUGCAAGCAUGUCUCUGUGGAGCUGGGGUCCAGUGGCUGUGCAGGAUCCUUCGUAUUGUAAUUGUGGCUGCAAAUGUGGAAGAGGAGCAGCUAAUGUUGCAGAUACAGAAAUCUAUGGGGAAUCAUCACAGCCUCAAUAUGUGUAGGGUAUGUGUGGUGGCAAUGCUAGUCACUGGUACCCUCAUCAGCAGACACUGUUGGGGUAUUUGCCUGGAAUCCAUCACAAGUGUCUCAGUGAAAAAAGCUUGGAAUGAGAGUCUGCCGUACUUGCAAGGGGGUGCUGAAGCCCUCUGUGGGCAAGACCACAAGGGCCACGUACAGAGUAAACCACUGGUGACCACAGACACUCCCACUACAUGGCUGAUACUGGUAACACCUGUUCUUCUUUCUUGUUCCUACUCAUCGAUAGAUGUCUCAGCUUUUACAGCAUCUCUGGAGAGUGAAUCCUACAUGAGUCAUUUCUGCCAUGCUCUUAAAGGCUGGAGAAUAUAAUAAUUUAUCCCUACUUCCUUUCAAGAAGUUUCCUCUUGGCAUUGAGUAGUACAGGCCUAGGUAUUGGGAGGAUGCAAGCAAAAUGUAAAUUCCUCCUACAUUUCCUCUAUAAUUUUUCUCAAGUUUUUUUGUUGGUUUGUUUUACUGUGUUGGUACAGCUUAUUUGAGCAGAGCCUCAAGCUCUGUCAGAGAUAUUUUAAUUCAUGUAUAGCUGUAUAAUUUUGAGCUUUAUGAGUAAUGGAGGCUAGUUCUCUAAUUCUGCAAUCUUU